rnacentral:rRNA from 1 species
AACUCCUACGGGGCGCAGCAGUGGGGAAUAUUGCACAAUGGGGGAAACCCUGAUGAAGCGACGCCGCGUGAGCGAAGAAGUAUUUCGGUAUGUAAAGCUCUAUCAGCAGGGAAGAAAAAUGACGGUACCUGAGUAAGAAGCACCGGCUAAAUACGUGCCAGCAGCCGCGGUAAUACGUAUGGUGCAAGCGUUAUCCGGAUUUACUGGGUGUAAAGGGAGGGCAGGCGGGGCGGCAAGUCUGAUGUGAAAGCCCGGGGCUCAACACCGGGACUGCAUUGGAAACUACCGAACUAGAGUGUCGGAGG